rnacentral:rRNA from 1 species
AUACGGAGGAUGCGAGCGUUAUCCGGAUUUAUUGGGUUUAAAGGGUGCGCAGGCGGCCAUUUAAGUCAGCGGUUAAAUCGUGGGGCUCAAUCCCAUUCUGCCGUUGAUACUGGGUGGCUUGAUUGCGGUCGAGGUUGGCGGAAUUCGUUGUGGAGCGGGGAAAUGCAUAGAAAUGACGAAGAACACCGAUUGCGUAGGCAGCUGACCAGACCGCAAAUGACGCUCAUGCACGAAAGUGCGGGGAUCGAACAGGAUUAGAUACCCUGGUAGUCCGCACAGUAAACGAUGAAUACUUGUUUUCGGCGAUAUAAUGUCGGAGGCAAAGCGAAAGCGAUAAGUAUUCCACCUGGGGAGUACGCCGGCAACGGUGAAACUCAAAUGAAUUGGCGGGG